rnacentral:sRNA from 1 species
UAUCUCUCUGUACAGGGAAGGAUGAGAAUCUUCGAUUAAGGUUCGACUCGAGCGGAAGCGAGAGAACGUUGCCAACGGCAACGGCCCGAAGGG